UCGAAAUUCGAGGGAGGAAGACGGAAAGUAGAAAGGACUGUCGCCUGUAUUGUUGCACGUCUUUGCUUUUCGUCGACCUUUCUCUCACUCUCACACACCUGUGCACCUAUUGUAGGGUACCUCGAAAAGAGCGAUCCCUAUGUUUCUUUUGUAUCACAUCUAUCGUAUGUCUAUAGAAUGUUAUCAUAGACAGUCGGACCAGGGCUUCGUCUCGGGUGGACUGGUCUACAUGAAAACCACAUA
rnacentral:misc_RNA from 1 species